rnacentral:lncRNA from 1 species
AUGCUAGUUUUACAGCUGAGGAAACUGAGGAAGAGAGAUGUGUCAGAUUCUUCUAUAAUCAACUUGUGUUUCACAAGUACAAAGUAUGCACAGACUGGAAUGCUUUUGAUCAUUCUCCCUCCUGUCUCGUCCCUCCAAGCCUCCCUCCCAAAAAAGCAGAUCUGUUGGCACCAAGUACUUUCAAAAUGCUGUAUGAGUUUGAGAAAUUAUAUCCUGACAGAUAAAGACUUACCCAAAUUCUGCAACCUUGCUUGCCUCUUGGGAGAGUGCUGCUGCUAUAGGGAAGAGAGUUGGAUAUGGCUUGGGCUCAGGCCACCUAAGGAAGGAUCUGGCUUUCAAUAUAAAAUUUAGAUUUUUAUUCUUUUUUACAAGUUCAAAGUUUAGGGUAAUUUGGAUUCAAAAGUUUGGUUUGGCUACUCCUGGGCUUUAUAUAUAAUAUUAGCAUCUCUGGUUGCUUCCCAGGAGUCCACUGAUGUCUUUAAAAGGAGUAUCAGCACAUGCAGAAGUUGCUAUUUUGGCAGUAGUUGAAGGUCAGUAGGCAAGGUUUACCUGUGCUUAAAAUGUGAAGUUAAUGCUUGGAAUUUUGGAAGGGUCUAAAAGUGUUAGCUAAUAUAUUAGUGCCAGUGCUAUUUAUGCUUCUGUGAAAGUCUCACUUUAGCUUACAUCAUUCUCCUCCCCUGGACCAGCAUGAUGAAGAAUCACUGCAAAAAAAAAACAAAAAACAAAACAGAUGAAGUUGCUGAUAGGGCCUCCACAGAAACCUAUGUUGAAGAAAUACACGGAAUCGAUACACUGUGUAGUUUCCUUGGUCAGCCUCCACUGUGGUUGUUUCCCACAGCCUGGCUGGUAUGGUUGGAAAUUCUUUUCUAUCUAUGAUGUUGAAUAAAGAUGAUCAGUUGAGCA